rnacentral:rRNA from 1 species
GAUGAACGCUAGCGGCAGGCUUAACACAUGCAAGUCGAGGGGUAUAGUUCUUCGGAACUAGAGACCGGCGCACGGGUGCGUAACGCGUAUGCAAUCUACCUUUUACAGUGGGAUAGCCCAGAGAAAUUUGGAUUAAUACCGCAUGGUAUAAUGACUCGGCAUCGAGACAUUAUUAAAGUCACAACGGUAAAAGAUGAGCAUGCGUCCCAUUAGUUAGUUGGUAAGGUAACGGCUUACCAAGACUACGAUGGGUAGGGGUCCUGAGAGGGAGAUCCCCCACACUGGUACUGAGACACGGACCAGACUCCUACGGGAGGCAGCAGUGAGGAAUAUUGGACAAUGGAGGCAACUCUGAUCCAGCCAUGCCGCGUGCAGGAUGACGGUCCUAUGGAUUGUAAACUGCUUUUAUACAGGAAGAAACACUUGCUCGUGAGCAAGCUUGACGGUACUGUAAGAAUAAGGAUCGGCUAACUCCGUGCCAGCAGCCGCGGUAAUACGGAGGAUCCAAGCGUUAUCCGGAAUCAUUGGGUUUAAAGGGUCCGUAGGCGGCUUUAUAAGUCAGUGGUGAAAUCUCCCCGCUCAACGGGGAAACGGCCAUUGAUACUGUAAGGCUUGAAUUAUUAGGAAGUAACUAGAAUAUGUAGUGUAGCGGUGAAAUGCUUAGAGAUUACAUGGAAUACCAAUUGCGAAGGCAGGUUACUACUAAUACAUUGACGCUGAUGGACGAAAGCGUGGGUAGCGAACA